rnacentral:lncRNA from 1 species
AUAAGUCAUAAUGAAAGGUAUUCGAUACUGUAUAAGUCAUAAUGAAAGGUAUUACCUACUGUUUAAGUCAUAAUGAAAUAUGUUAGAUACUGUGAAAGCCAUAUUGAAAGGUGUUAGAUACUGUAUACGCAAUAUUGAAAGUUAUUACAUACCGUAUAAGUCAUAAUGAAAAGUAUUAGACACUAUAUAAGUCAAAAUGAAAUGGAGGUAGUAGAUGUGGAAGGGAGAGAGUGAGGAGAGAGAGAGAGAGAGAGAGAGAGGGAGGGAGAAAGAGGGAGCGAGAGAGAGAGGGAGAAAGACGGAGAGAGAGACUGUAAAUCUGAGUAAGACAAAAAUAAUUGUGUUCCAAAAAAGGUCCAGUUGUACUCACUAAUAAAUAUUCCAUCUAGACACUGUUGCCAUAGAGCACACACAAACUAUACAUACCUUGGCCUAAACAUCGGCGCCACAGUUAACUUCCACAAAGCUGUGAACUAUUUGAGAGACAAGGCAAGAAGGGCCUUCUACGCCAUCAAAAGGAAUAUAAAAUCCAACAUACCAAUUAGGAUCUGGCAAAAAAUACUUGAAUCAAUUAUAUCAAAUCAAAUGUAUUUAUAUAGCCUUUCUUACAUCAGCUGAUAUCUCAAAGUGCUGUACAGAAACCCAGCCUAAAACCCCAAACAGCAAGUAAUGCAGGUGUAGAAGCACGGUGGCUAGGAAAAACUCCCUAGAAAGGCCAAAACCUAGGAAGAAACCUAGAGAGGACCCAGGCUAUGAGGGGUGGCCAGUCCUCUUCUGGCUGUGCCGGGUGGAGAUUAUAACAGAACAUGGCCAAGAUGUUCAAAUGUUCAUAAAUGACCAGCAUGGUCAAAUAAUAAUAAUCACAGUAGUUGUUGAGGGUGCAACAAUUCAGCACCUCAAGAGUAAAUGUCAGUUGGCUUUUCAUAGCCGAUCAUUGAGAGUAUCUCUACCGCUCCUGCUGUCUCUAGAGAGUUGAAAACAGCAGGUCUGGGACAGGUAGCAUGUCCAGU